rnacentral:rRNA from 1 species
UACGGAGGGUGCAAGCGUUAUCCGGAUUUACUGGGUUUAAAAGGGUGCGCAGGCGGAUAUGUAAGUCAGUGGUGAAAUCUCUAGGCUUAACCUGGAAAUUGCCGUUGAUACUAUAUAUCUUGAAUGCUGUGGAGGUAAGCGGAAUAUGUCAUGUAGCGGUGAAAUGCUUAGAUAUGACAUAGAACACCUAUUGCGAAGGCAGCUUACUACGCAGAUAUUGACGCUCAUGCACGAAAGCGUGGGGAUCAAACAGG